GACGAACGCUGGCGGCGUGCUUAACACAUGCAAGUCGAACGGAAAGGCCCUGCUUUUGUGGGGUGCUCGAGUGGGGAACGGGUGAGUAACACGUGAGUAACCUGCCCUACACUUUGGGAUAACUUCAGGAAACUGGGGCUAAUCCCGGAUAGGAGCUCCUGCUGCAUGGUGGGGGUUGGAAAGUUUCGGCGGUUGGGGAUGGACUCGCGGCUUACCAGCUUGUUGGUGGGGUAGUGGCUUACCAAGGCUUUGACGGGUAGCCGGCCUGAGAGGGGGACCGGCGACAUGGGGACUGAGAUACGGCCCAGAGUCCUACGGGAGGCAGCAGUGGGGAAUAUUGCACAAUGGGAGGAAGCCUGAUGCAGCAACGCCGCGGGCGGGAUGACGGCCUUCGGGUUGUAAACCGCUGUCGCCUGUGACGAAGCGGUAGUGACGGUAAUGGGUAAAGAAGCACCGGCUAACUACGUG
rnacentral:rRNA from 1 species